AUUGAACGCUGGCGGCAUGCCUUACACAUGCAAGUCGAACGGCAGCACAGAGGAGCUUGCUCCUUGGGUGGCGAGUGGCGGACGGGUGAGGAAUACAUCGGAAUCCACUCUGUCGUGGGGGAUAACGUAGGGAAACUUACGCUAAUACCGCAUACGACCUACGGGUGAAAGCAGGGGACCUUCGGGCCUUGCGCGAUUGAAUGAGCCGAUGUCGGAUUAGCUAGUUGGCGGGGUAAAGGCCCACCAAGGCGACGAUCCGUAGCUGGUCUGAGAGGAUGAUCAGCCACACUGGAACGGAGACACGGUCCAGACUCCUACGGGAGGCAGCAGUGGGGAAUAUUGGACAAUGGGCGCAAGCCUGAUCCAGCCAUACCGCGUGGGUGAAGAAGGCCUUCGGGUUGUAAAGCCCUUUUGUUGGGAAAGAAAUCCAGCUGGCUAAUACCCGGUUGGGAUGACGGUACCCAAAGAAUAAGCACCGGCUAACUUCGUGCCAGCCGCCGCGGUAA
rnacentral:rRNA from 1 species